ACCCUCCAAUGUCUUUACCCAACAGGUCUAAACACUGGUCUGAGUGAUUACAGAAGGAGGAAAAGUCACAUGAAAACGGACUUCCAUGUGUUUGAAGAAACUUGAAACUAGAGCAUACAGCCUAGUUUCUAACUGAC
rnacentral:snoRNA from 1 species